GAACACGUGUUCUCGUACGAUCACCGAAAUUAAGCAACCUCGAGUCUAGUCAGUACCCAGAUGGGUGACCGGUUGGGAAUACCAGGUGCUGUAAG